rnacentral:misc_RNA from 1 species
UUAAGUUCAGCGGGUAUCCCUACCUGAUCCGAGGUCAACCUUUAAAAAAAAUUGGGGUUGUUGGCAGGCACACAACCGGUUAUCCAAAGCGAGAAAAUUACUACGCUUGAAGCCGAAUGGCACCGCCACUGAUUUUACGGCCCGCCUUAGCAGGUGAGGCCUAAUACCAAGCAGAGCUUGAGGGUUGUAAUGACGCUCGA